AUUGAACGCUGGCGGCAUGCUUUACACAUGCAAGUCGAACGGCAGCGCGGGCUUCGGCCUGGCGGCGAGUGGCGAACGGGUGAGUAAUACGUCGGAACGUGCCCAGUAGUGGGGGAUAGCUCGGCGAAAGCCGGAUUAAUACCGCAUACGACCUGAGGGUGAAAGCGGGGGAUCUUCGGACCUCGCGCUAUUGGAGCGGCCGAUGGCAGAUUAGCUAGUUGGUGGGGUAAAGGCCUACCAAGGCGACGAUCUGUAGCUGGUCUGAGAGGACGACCAGCCACACUGGAAUUGAGACACGGCCCAGACUCCUACGGGAGGCAGCAGUGGGGAUUUUUGGACAAUGGGCGAAAGCCUGAUCCAGCAAUGCCGGGUGGGUGAAGAAGGCCUUCGGGUUUUAAAGCCCUUUUGGGGGGAAAGAAAAGCAGUGGGCCAAUACCCCGGUGCUCUGACGGUACCCAAAGAAUAAGCACCGGCUAACUACGUG
rnacentral:rRNA from 1 species